rnacentral:rRNA from 1 species
AUUGAACGCUGGCGGCAGGCCUAACACAUGCAAGUCGAACGAGUGGCGGACGGGUGAGUAAUGUCUGGGUAACUGCCUGAUGGCGGGGGAUAACUACUGGAAACGGUAGCUAAUACCGCACACCAUAGGAUGCGCCCGGAUGGGAUUAGCUAGUAGGUGGGGUAAAGGCACACCUAGGCGACGAUCCCUAGCUGGUCUGAGAGGAUGACCAACCACAAUGGAAUUGAGACACGGUCCAGGCUCCUACGGGAGGCAGCAUGUGGGAAUAUUGCACAAUGGGCGCAAGCCUGAAGCAGCCAUGCCGCGUGUAGGAAGAAGGCCUUGGGGUUUUAAAGUACUUUCAGCGGGGAGACGUUACCCGCAUAAGAAGCACCGGCUAACGCCGUGCCAGCAGCCGCGGUAAUGC